UACGUAGGGACCAAGCGUUGUUCGGAUUUACUGGGCGUAAAGGGCGCGUAGGCGGCUUGACAAGUCACUUGUGAAAUCUUCGGGCUUAACUCGGAACGGCCAAGUGAAACUGUCAUGCUAGAGUGCAGAAGGGGCAAUCGGAAUUCUUGGUGUAGCGGUGAAAUGCGUAGAUAUCAAGAGGAACACCUGAGGUGAAGACGGGUUGCUGGGCUGACACUGACGCUGAGGCGCGAAAGCCAGGGGAGCAAACGGG
rnacentral:rRNA from 1 species